AACAGUUCGAGAAAGUUUGAGAGAGAGUCUCCUCGCCAUAGUUACUGAAAGAACCCAACUGUUUACUUCAUACCCAUUAAAACUCUCAUUGUAUUGAGGUGAGAAUUUUCAUUGCAUCAAUGGAAGGUGAAAAACCCAUGAGUUUCAUGGAGUUGGGGAGUCUAAUUAUAUGGAGAGGGAGAAAUAGAGAGAGUAUCAUUGCCAUAGCUAUAGAAAAAACCAAUUUUUACAUCAAAUCCAUGAAAGCUCCAACUGUUUAAAGUCAGAGAAACUCAGUGGAUCAAUGAAAGGAGAAAAACCAAUGAAUUUCAUGGAGAUGGGGAGUGUUACAAAAGCGAGAGGACGGCACAGAGGGAGCCUCCUCGCCAUUCUAAGAGGAAGAAAACCCACUUUUACUCUACACCCAAUUAAGUUAUCGAUCUUUCAGGAGUAAGAGAAGUAUUUUUAUACUUACCCAAAAAAGUUUCCGGGCUAGAAUUUGCAGAGAAGAUAGUAGGCUUCAUAUCCAGGAACAAAUAUCCCAGUUUCUUGAUCAAUCAAAAAGGAAGACAAUCCCCCUUUAUUGAGGAGAAUGAGCAGAGACUUUGGUUGGAAUUUGCAGAGAAAAUUAGUUGAAGUCCACGGAGGUUUAAGAUGUAUGAGAGGGUAUAAGGAGCAGUUCGUUGAGAGAGGAAACAGAUGAUUCAUGAGAGAUAAGUAAGUGGGCGUUUCCAAGAAAGAGAUGAGACCUGUGUCUAGCUCUACAUAAGACUCUCUCUCCUCCCCCCUGUUAUGCCACACCUCUCUCUCUCUAACCACUGUUGUGGCCACCUCUCUCUCUCUCUUUCCCCUUCACUUCCGCUUUCACGCCUUGUCGUUGCUGCAGUGGUCUCUCUCUCUCUCUAUCUUUCCAUCUCCCUUAAUAUCUUUUCGGCCUCUGUAUUUAACGGCCUGUUUGUUUUGGCCAUAACAAAUUGUGCAUAUCAAUGAAAUGGUGAACGAUUAUACUGUGCUGCAGUAUCUAAAAAACCCGUAUUCGUAGGGUGGAUCGUCCAGCUCACAAUCCGUGUUUGGAAAUGCCGGAUCGCCGUUUGGGAUCACUAUGUAUUGGUGAUUUACAAAAUAUUAAAAUUUAGAAUUUAGAAAAUGAAAAAGGUUACAUACGGUUGCAACCUUAAAAUGUAGAACUAAAGAUGCACCUUAAAAAUUUAUCGAAAAUGUUAUUUUAUUGUUGAAAAACCCUUUAAUUGGUAAUCUCGACAUCGAGAUGGAUGGAUCUGAAAAUAAAAUAAAAGGUUUUUGAGUCCUCGAAAUAGUGCAUCUUGCGGCACAUUAUCUAGACUGUGAAUUUUCUAGAUUUUGAUAUGUUUAUAGAUCUACUUGCUUUUAAUCAUUUUUUUAGUUUAAAUUUUUCUAAUUAGAUAUGAAAAUAGAUUUUAAAAUAAUCAUAAUAAUUUUUUACAACAAAAUUACAUGAUAAAACUUGGAGGUGCACCUUAAUUGGAUAUAAUUUUAUCAAAAUUUUGUUGUAAAAAAAGAUGACCAAUAAUUUCUUUACCAAAUUUUCCAUAGAUCCCAAAAGCUCGUCAUCUAAUUCCUGCACCCCAUCAAUGGCCAUUCCAAUAUACUUUUGGAUGGAAAUGACAGUCACCUACAAGGCCUUCCAAUACCUUAUUCCAUACAACUAAAUACACAUUCAGUUAUGUCUUAGUAAUGAAAAUGAUCACUAUGGAGUACUAUUCAAAUUUUAACUUAAAAUUAUUAUUUUAUUGUUAUAUUUUAGUUAUAGUUAAAUAAAUUUGCAUAUAAUUAUUCUAUCUUUAUGUAUUAAUUUAUCAAUAAUUGUUUAAAUUAUUGUAACUAAUUACUUUGUAAUAACUAAUAAUAGUAAUAAUUAUUAUAAAGUUCAUGUGACAAAUAUAUGUGCAGUUAAUUAUACAAAAAAUAUAAUUGAAAUCUCCAAAAGUAUUCAAAAUCCUAAUCUAAUAUCAUGAAUAUCUCAUAAUCAUAUAAGCAUAACUUUGUAAUUAGUUAUUAAGAGUAAAAAAAAUUAUAAUAUUAUCUAUAGAAUUUAUUAUAUUAAUUAGUUUAGCUUCCCUUUAAUAAAGGGAAAAGUUUAUAUAGAGCUGAUACUAUAAACAAUCAAAUUAUAGCCUACCUCAAAAAAUUCACUAGAAGAGAUUGUUUUGAUGCUCAAAUAUCCUCAAAUUAAUCAGCUCGACGUCAAAAUGUAUGGACAUGAGAAAAAAAUAAAUUUCAAGUUUUGGAAAUAGUGCAUUUGAUAAUGUAUUUUUGGACCGUCAAUUUUCAAGAUUUUCAUAAAUUUGGCGAUCUAAACUAUUUUUUAAACUUUAUAAAUACACAUGGAAAUAUAUUUUAAUGCUAUCACAAAUAUUUCUAUCGUUGAAACCACAUUUCUCAACACUAUUUGAAAGUAGGCUUGUUUAGAGCCUAGGCUCUAGACAAACCGCACCCUUUAAUAAUUUUAUUUGAAAUUGGAUUAUAGUCAUAAUAUUAUCAUUUCUAAGUUAUCAAGAUAUCAAUUUUUAUAUCUUGUUUGAUAUUCCGUUACAUAGUAUCAAGAGAAAGGCAUAUAUAUCAUUUUAUUUUUUUUGGCAUGUAUACCAACUCUAUUAUGAGUUUUAAUUGCAAUAAAUAUCUAAUUAUCAUGAGUUGUUUAUUACACAUAUCAUGUGAAACAUUUUUGUGACUUUAUUUUUUCAAAAUUUUAGAAUAAUAUUUACUUAUAAGUAAAAAAAUUUGUUUGCUAACAUUAUAUUAAAGUAAUUUUAAUUAUUCUAAAAAAUAAUAUGAUUAAAAAUAAGAAAAAAUAAAAGAUAAAACACAAAAGUAAUUAACCAAAAAUAUAAAAAUACAAUUUUUAUUAUUUAUGUGUUUUUCUUUUUUGCAUUUUAAAUUUAUCCAGUUUUAAAAAUAAUAUUUACUUACAACUAAAUAAUAUAUUUACAUAAAAAUAAUUUUAUUUAUAUUAGUGAAUGAUAUAAUUGCAUAUAUAAAAAAAGGGAAACAAGAUAGUAAUGAACGGUAACUACAAAUUAGAUAUGUAAAUAAUGUAAUUGAAAUUAUUUUUAAGAAAAUAAUUACCCCAAAUGCAAGGCAUUAAUACAAUUAUAAUCAUAUUUUGAAAUUUAUGUGAUAUAAAGUUUUUCUAAUUAUCUAGAAGAAUAUUUACUCACCAGUAAAUAAUAAAUUUAUUAACAUGAAUAAUAAUAAAUUUAAAGUAGGUUAUAAAAUAAUAUAAUUUAAAUGUAAGCUUUCUAUGAUUCUCCUACAACAUAAAACUUAUAUACUUCCUCUUAUCUAACCGUCCAUUCUGAAAGGAGGGCUAAGAUUGCCGUAAUCACAAUACUACGUCUCUAUACUAUUUUAUUUUUAAUUUAUUUUCUAUAAACUAUUUUGACACUAAAAUUUGGACAUCCAAUCUUCUAUUAAGCUUGCACUAGCGAAAAAUAUAAAAAUUAUAUUUCCAAUGACAUAAAAUAACCAAAAUACCUCUGAAAGUUUCAAGAGGUAUUUUGGUCAUUAUAUUUUAUCGAAAAUUUAUUUUUAAUAUUUUUUAUAGGUGCACCCCAAUGAAAAGAUGGAGCGUACCAAAUUUCAAAUUCAUAAAAUUUGUAUAAAAAAAACUAAAAAUAAAAUACUUUGAGACGUCGAAUCUAAUAUCAAACGAUGAAUGGCUAUCUUUAUCAAAAUUGGACGGCUGGAUGGUAAGGGAAGCAUAGAUCUUCCAUACUGUAGGGGAAGUAUAAAAACCUUUCCCAUAACCUAUUUUCUAAUAGAAGUCCGCACGUGAAUAUGGAUCAACAAAUUAUCUCCUUUUAUAACUCUCUAUAAGCGAAUAUGGGAGUUUAAGAUUGAAAACAUAUUUUAAGAAAAUUAUCGUUGAUAUACCUAAAUUUUUAAAAAAUUGGAAAAAAACUCUUUACUUUCAAAAACCUCGACCACACCCUUUUGGAACAUUUUCAUGUUUUUUUGGACGAAACUACCCUUUACAGUAGUAUUUGUAUCGUAAUAAGAAUUACGAUAUUAAAAAUACCGUAAUAAACUGAUAACGGUACUAUUAAUACCGUUAUAUUUUAACUAAGCAUUACGGUACUAUUAGUAGGGUAAUACUUAUAAAAUUCUUUACGGUACUACUUGUACCAUAAUACUUAUUUUUAAAAUGAAAAACAAUUACGAUACUUAUAGUACAGUAAUCUCUUAAAUAAUGAACUAUCUAUGCAACAUUCCCCACCGCAAUUUUUUUUCACACUUUUUUCCCUUAAGCAAAAUUGUGGAUAUGGCAUAUACAACUGCACAAACUCCAAUAUAUUUGAAUGAGGCAAGGAGUGUUUGUUCAUUAGAUUUCCACCUCAUAUAUUUGAAUGAGACUGUUAUUCUUGACGCUCUCUCUAAAGUUUCAGAUAAGAUUCUGUCCAGCCUCCAUGGAGAAGCUUCCCUAGCCAGCACCCAUGAAACGGUGUUGGCCGAGUUGUGAGGUCGGCCAAGCUAGGGUAAACGUUCUCAGUCCCUGAAGUCAAGCAGUGGCUUCUGCUCUCUCGAGCAGCCUCUGUUACCAAUUGGCCCUGAAAAAAAGUAUUGGCCCUAAGAAAAAAAACUAUCUCAACUGAACUAUUAUUGCCUACCCUUCAAAAGAAAAUAAAGAAAUAAAACAAACAAAAGAGAAACUCCCAUAUGUAUGGCUGUCUUUUAAGGUCACAAUAAAAAGGUUUGUAUAAAGUCCAGUUUCAACAAUUACCACCAAUAGAGCCUGCCUGCUUGAUGAAUUUUCGUCAUCAAACAAUCAUCUUUGGGCUUCGUCCAAACACAAGCAUCUGUUUCUAAACGCAAGUCCUGUCAGGAAUAUAAGCACUGAUUAGUCACCCAAUUUUCAACCUUCUAUAUUUAUCAUUUCAGGUUAUAAUAUUUUGUGACUUGGGAAAUAGAAUGAAAAACACCUUGAGGAGAAUAUGGACAUUGUCACAGAUUGAGGUCCAGCAAGUUAGAUCAGCACCUCCAACAAAUGUAAAAAUUAGGCCUCGUAAACAAGCAUAUUUUCCUCGAUCAUAAAAGCCAUCUCAAACUCUCUUUGCAUGUAGCAUGCUUCUAUCAACUGGGUCUUAGUCGAUUCCUCUGGGAGUUUUCCCCUUUUAAGCAUAGCGUCGAAAACAAAAUGGGCUUCCCUUAAUCUAUUUUCUUCACAGAGAAGGCAGAUCAAUCUGUUGAAGUUAUACUUACAUGGGGCACAACCAUGCAUAAGCAUUUCUUGAAACAGAUUGAAAGCCAGAUCAAUUGCACCAUUAACAGAGAGGAGGUCAAGUAGUCGCUCAUAGGAAAUCUUAUUGGGAACAAAACCCUUCUUAUACAUUGUGAGUGUGAGCGAUAAAGCAUCCACUAUUCUUCCCGCCAAGCAAAGGCCUUUAAGAAGUGCAUUAUAUGUAACCUUAUCAGGGGGAUACCCAUCCAUAGCCAUUUGAUUGAAUAACUUAAUGGCAAGAUCAAUUUCACCAUGCAUGCUGUGGCCAUUGAUAAGUAUGUUAUACGUCACUUGAUUAGGGUGCACCCCAUUUUGAAGCAUCAAAUCAAGAAGGUCAUAGGCAUUUCCCAUCAUGUCAGCCCUGCAAAACCCAUUAAUCAUCCCAUUGUAAAUAUGUAAAUCAGGCAUCAGCCCAUCAUCUAUCAUAUCUCGCAUCAAACUUAGAGCCAGCUCAAUCUUUUCCACAAAAGAAUUGCACGAAAACCGUUGCUCAAGUCUUGAGGGCUCCAUAGUCUUUUGAGGGAGCAGAUUAAAGAGCAUUUUUCUCGCAUCUUCAUUCCUUUUGGCACGGGAAAUUGGUAUGGGGUGCUGCCGCACCUUACGUGAGAUAUUUCGGCAAACCCCGCUUAUAAGAGAUCCAUAAGUGAUCAAAUUAGGCUCAAUCUGGUUUUUAAUCAUCUGAUCAACAAAGCUCAAGGCCACACCAAUCUCACCUCUUCGACAGAACUGGCUAAUGAAAGUGUUGUACAGAACCCUAUCAGGUUUGAAACCAUCUUCCAACAUCCGUUCAAGAUAAGAACACCCACGCUGAACCAUGUUUCUCUUAAUCAAACCAUUUAUUAGUGCACAAUACGCAUGGGAACUCGGCUUUAAACCCAAGUCUAUCAUCUCUUCAAACAAAUUGCAAGCAUCCAAAGCUCUUCCCACUUUGGAAAACCCAUUGAUUAAAGUGGUGUAUACUUCCACAUCAGGUGCAGUCCCACCUUCAAACAACCAAUUGAACAUAGAUUUGGCUUCCUCCAUCCUAUUCUCUUUGCCCAGGCAACCAAUAAUAGAGUCAUAGAUGGCAACAGUGGGCUCCAACCCGCUUUCAAUCAUCUCCUCGAAGGCCCGAAGAGCCAAUACGAGGUUUCUUUCCUUGCAGUGCCCACUUAUCAUUAUCAAAUAAGUCGCCCGAUUGGGAACCAAACCUCUCUCCCUCAUUGAGCUCACUAGGGCUUCAGCAUCUGCAAUUCUAUCCUCCUUGAAGAGGCAUUUAACCAAGGAAUUAUACGUGGAGACAGUGGGUUCCAAUUCAAGGUAACCCAUCUUAUUUAUGAAAUAAAAAGCGCUGUCAGAUUUCCCUUCUGCACAAAAAGCAUUAAUCAGUACAUUAAAAGCCACACUGCUUGGAACAAUGUUGCUUCUCAAUAUCUCGUCCAACAAAAGCUCAAUUCCUUGCGGACUCGAAUCUGAAAACACCAAGUCAUCAAGACUGCAAUUAUGCCUUGCCAUCGCCUUUAAGAGCUUCAAAGCAAGAAGAGGCUCCCGAUCUUUUGGAUAGUUGUUUAUAAGAGACAAGAACAUAAUGUGGUCAGGUGCAAGGCCACUAUCUAGCAUCUUAUUGAACAAAAAAUCAGCCUCUGAGAACCUAUUCUCCUUGCAAAGAGCUUGAAUCAAGACUGUGUAACAGUGAACAUUGGGUGCAACACCAUGGCUGGACAUGACAUCAAGAAGCUUCAAAGCAGAGUCUAGCCUGUUAUCUUUGCAGUAUCGAUUGAUUAUAACACUAUAAGUGACCACAUCAGGCUCCAAGCCUCUCGCAUGCAUCUCAUUGAAAUACUCCCAAGCCAAAUCAAGAUGACCCAGUUUCACAAAACCAUAAAUAAGUGUGUUAUAAGUGUAGGUAUCCAAUUGAAACCCCAUUUUACCCAUCCUGCAAAAUAGUUUCAGAGCCAUAUCCAUCUUUCCAUCUUUACAAUACCAAUAGAGAAGGAAAGUAUAAGUCUCAAGCUUUGGAGAAAGACCUUGUAACUCCAUUAAUCGGCACAGAUAUUCUGCCUCCUCAACCCUCUUGUUCUUAAAGCAAAAAUGCAUCAAAGACUUGUAGAAUUGAAUGCUAGGCUUCAUACCGGAACCCACCAUUGUUUCAAACACUUGGAGAGCCUUGUCAAAAUUCCCCCGAGAACAGAGACUAAACAAAAGUAACCUGCAGGAAGAUGAACUAGGAAGAACCUUGAAGGAUAUCGCUUUAUAGAACAAACUAAGAGCCUCAGGUACUCGCUCUUUUAUGCAGAGCUCUUGAAUCGACGCAUUAAUGGCAGGUGAAGAAGGCAGAGAACCAACCUGAACCAGAGCCUCGAGAUGGUCAAUGGCCUUCUGCAAUUUCCCCAAUCUACUGUAACAAAUUAUCAUACAAUUGACCAUGUCAGGGUCAGGGACAAUCUCUCUAGAAAGAAGGUAAUUGUAAAACUCUUCAGCUUUUGAAGCAUGGCCUGAUACAACCAAACGUCUCAAAAGAGAAGUGUGGCUCUUUAGAUUGAGAUUUGGGCCAUGGGAGAUGGAGAAUUCAAAAGAACAGAUGUCAUUUGAGAGCUUAGACUUGGAACCUCUGAUAAUUCGAUCGAGAACCGCUUGAGAUUCUUGAACCAUGCCCCUGCUCAAAAGCUUCUCUGCUAAACCUAAACAAUACUGCAAAUGCUCUUUGGACAAAUCUUGAGGAGCUACAAACGAAUCCAGCGCAGCAAUGGAAGUUGAAAAACCCAUGAAUUUCAUGGGUGUUGGGUGUCUUAUAACAAUUCGAGGAAGUUUGAGAGAGAGUCUCCUCACCAUAGUUACUGAAAGAACCCAACUGUUUACUUCAUACCCAUUAAAACUCUCAUUGUAUUGAGGUGAGAAUUUUCAGUGCAUCAAUGGAAGGUGAAAAACCCAUGAGUUUCAUGGAGUUGGGGAGUCUAAUUAUAUGGAGAGGGAGAAAUAGAGAGAGUAUCAUUGCCAUAGCUAUAGAAAAAACCAAU
rnacentral:lncRNA from 1 species